rnacentral:rRNA from 1 species
ACAAUGAAGAGUUUGAUCCUGGCUCAGGAUGAACGCUAGCUACAGGCUUAACACAUGCAAGUCGAGGGGCAUCAGGAAGAAAGCUUGCUUUCUUUGCUGGCGACCGGCGCACGGGUGAGUAACACGUAUCCAACCUACCCUUUACUCGGGGAUAGCCUUUCGAAAGAAAGAUUAAUACCCGAUAGCAUAAUGAUUCCGCAUGGUUUCAUUAUUAAAGGAUUCCGGUAAAGGAUGGGGAUGCGUUCCAUUAGGUUGUUGGUGGGGUAACGGCCCACCAAGCCUUCGAUGGAUAGGGGUUCUGAGAGGAAGGUCCCCCACAUUGGAACUGAGACACGGUCCAAACUCCUACGGGAGGCAGCAGUGAGGAAUAUUGGUCAAUGGGCGCUAGCCUGAACCAGCCAAGUAGCGUGAAGGAUGAAGGCUCUAUGGGUCGUAAACUUCUUUUAUAUAAGAAUAAAGUGCAGUAUGUAUACUGUUUUGUAUGUAUUAUAUGAAUAAGGAUCGGCUAACUCCGUGCCAGCAGCCGCGGUAAUACGGAGGAUCCGAGCGUUAUCCGGAUUUAUUGGGUUUAAAGGGAGCGUAGGUGGACUGGUAAGUCAGUUGUGAAAGUUUGCGGCUCAACCGUAAAAUUGCAGUUGAUACUGUCAGUCUUGAGUACAGUAGAGGUGGGCGGAAUUCGUGGUGUAGCGGUGAAAUGCUUAGAUAUCACGAAGAACUCCGAUUGCGAAGGCAGCUCACUGGACUGCAACUGACACUGAUGCUCGAAAGUGUGGGUAUCAAACAGGAUUAGAUACCCUGGUAGUCCACACAGUAAACGAUGAAUACUCGCUGUUUGCGAUAUACAGUAAGCGGCCAAGCGAAAGCAUUAAGUAUUCCACCUGGGGAGUACGCCGGCAACGGUGAAACUCAAAGGAAUUGACGGGGGCCCGCACAAGCGGAGGAACAUGUGGUUUAAUUCGAUGAUACGCGAGGAACCUUACCCGGGCUUAAAUUGCAGUGGAAUGAUGUGGAAACAUGUCAGUGAGCAAUCACCGCUGUGAAGGUGCUGCAUGGUUGUCGUCAGCUCGUGCCGUGAGGUGUCGGCUUAAGUGCCAUAACGAGCGCAACCCUUAUCUUCAGUUACUAACAGGUCAUGCUGAGGACUCUGGAGAGACUGCCGUCGUAAGAUGUGAGGAAGGUGGGGAUGACGUCAAAUCAGCACGGCCCUUACGUCCGGGGCUACACACGUGUUACAAUGGGGGGUACAGAAGGCAGCUACCUGGUGACAGGAUGCUAAUCCCAAAAGCCUCUCUCAGUUCGGAUCGAAGUCUGCAACCCGACUUCGUGAAGCUGGAUUCGCUAGUAAUCGCGCAUCAGCCACGGCGCGGUGAAUACGUUCCCGGGCCUUGUACACACCGCCCGUCAAGCCAUGGGAGCCCGGGGUACCUGAAGUACGUAACCGCAAGGAUCGUCCUAGGGUAAAACUGGUGACUGGGGCUAAGUCGUAACAAGGUAGCCGUACCGGAAGGUGCGGCUGGAACACCUCCUUU